ACCUGAAAUCAAGCAAGAUCACCCGCUGAACUUAAGCAUAUCAGUAAGCGGAGGAAAAGAAACUAACAAGGAUUGCCUUAGUAGUGGCGAAUGAACCGGCAAUAGCUCAAAGUGUAAAUCUGAGGCAUCAAGUCUUAGAAUUGUAAUCUAUAGGCCUUUUAGGGAAGCCAUGGUUCUAGCAUAAGUUCCUUGAAAAGGGAUGCCAAAGAGGGUAAAAGCCCCGUAUUUGGUUAGAACUGGGUGUACCGAAGGGUUCCAAGAGUCGGGUUGUUUGGGAUUGCAGCCUAAAAUGGGAGAUAAACUUCUUCUAAAGCUAAAUAUUUAUGGGAAACCGAUAGCAAACAAGUACUACGAAGGAAAGAUGAAAAGAACUUUGAAAAGAGGGUUAAAAGACUUGAAAUCGUUGAGAAGAAAAGCGGUAGAAGAGAAAUGAUUUCGUUUAGAAGUAUGUGGCGUUGUUGGCGUCUUCUGCGGUAAUGGUACUUCAUAGGGCCUAGCUGUAGACCGGCGUUGCAUAGUUACUUUUUCUAGGCGAAGUGCAAAAUGAGGUUUUGUUUGCGGAAACGUCUCUAGGGAGCACUCUGGCCUAGAUGCUAGAAGCCCUGGUCUCCAA
rnacentral:rRNA from 1 species